UCCGGGACAGGCGAUACCGCUUUUUGUAGUGGGUCUUUAUGCUUCCCUUUGUGGGCGCCUUUGCCAAAAGCAAGGCGAUAAGCCGAUCUUCGCCAACUUCUUUUGGCCCUUCCUUCCCCAACCUCCGCCUGUCCCGCUCCGCUUCCGGGGACGGUAAGGAGACUACCAGAAAGGUCGCCUCCAUCCUCCGGCUUCAAUCCCUCUGCUCUUCUCCUCUCGGUCGGUCCCCAAGAUUUGUCUCAUUGUGAGUUCAAGAGGGUUCUAGAAACCCUCCUGCGCUGCCAUCUUUCCCCUGUUCUCGUUCCCUUUUCUCGCGGUUUAUCGGCUCGAGUUCUUGAGGUUUCUUUUGCUGCGUUGUUUCGGAUGGUCUUGUUUCGGUUGAGGGUGUGGGGUCUGCUAUGUUUCUGUUGCUUUUUUCUUGUCCCCGAGAGGUUUGAUUUUGCUUCGCGGUGCGGCGACGAGAGUUAUGCUUGGCUUUCUUGCUCUUAGGGUUGUUGGUGGUUCGUUCUGAGCAGUGGAAGUUCUUGUUAUGGAUACCUCAUAUGCAGAGGAAUGCGGUUAUAGUGAUCUUGAUGAGGUUAUCGAGUUUAGAUUUCCUUGGAGGAAGCAGAGGAUGAAACCAGCGAGUUUUUUAGCUUGUUGAUGUUUGAUGGUGGAAGAUGACUUGAGAACGAAAGAGAGGCCCCAAGGACGGUUACCUCCUUCCACCGAUUUCAAACCCUCUUCUCUACUAUAUCGGGGUUUCAAUUUCGUUCGUUCUUCUCCAAGAUUUGCCUCAAUGUUCUGGUCUUAACCCUGAUUUUCAUGGGUAUGGUCAUUUAAGUUCCCUUCGGGAGUUAGAAGCAAGCAGCAACUAUGGUCAUCUUGAGAUAAAUUGUCCGUCUACAACUGCAAUUUGUGGUGACAAUUUCUUGCAGUCAACUCAGCUUCUUUCUCCUCAUUGUCGACCUAGUAGAGCUGAUUUUGGCAGAAGCAAAACGACGUUAUCAUAUUUGGCUGAUAACUCGCAUGUAUCAAAUGAAAGCAGAGCUUAUGUCAUGGAUUACAUGUCUUGGCAAAACAGAAUGAACAUUUGCAAUGCUCCCCGGGGAUCUUGUAGUAUGGGCAGUUACACCGGAAGAGUGUCCAAGGUCACAGAAGGAAGUUUGUCUGAUAUUCUAAAUAGCCUUAUUCCUGGAUCAAAAUAUGGAUCUCUCCGAUGACCAUGAUGUCUGCAUGAUUUACAUGUCUAGUUAUUGUAGUAUUUG